rnacentral:rRNA from 1 species
UACGUAGGGGGCAAGCGUUGUUCGGAAUUACUGGGCGUAAAGGGCGCGUAGGCGGCACGGCAAGUCGGGAGUGAAAGCCCGGGGCUCAACCCCGGAACGUCUUUCGAAACUGCCGAGCUAGAGUGCGGAAGGGGCAACUGGAAUUCCCAGUGUAGCGGUGAAAUGCGUAGAUAUUGGGAAGAACACCAGAGGCGAAGGCGGGUUGCUGGGCCGACACUGACGCUGAGGCGCGAAAGCCAGGGGAGCGAACGGG